CUCGGGGCCGGGGGGUCCCUCAGCCUGGAUGGCGAGAAGGCACAGGCCAGGUCGAGGGACCCCACUGGUAUAGG
rnacentral:pre_miRNA from 1 species